rnacentral:rRNA from 1 species
UACAGAGGUCCCGAGCGUUGUUCGGAUUCACUGGGCGUAAAGGGUGCGCAGGUGGGCUGGUAAGUUCGAUGUGAAAGCCCCGGGCUUAACCCGGGAAUGGCAUUGGAUACUACUGGUCUGGAGGAUCGGAGGGGGGACUGGAAUUCUUGGUGUAGCAGUGAAAUGCGUAGAUAUCAAGAGGAACACCAGUGGCGAAGGCGAGUCCCUGGACGAUACCUGACACUGAGGCACGAAAGCCGGGGGAGCAAACAGG